rnacentral:piRNA from 1 species
UGACUGGUAACACGGAAAAUGACGGGC